CGGCAAGACGGAAAGACCCCGUGAACCUUUACUAUAGCUUGACACUGAACAUUGAGCCUUGAUGUGUAGGAUAGGUGGGAGGCUUUGAAGUGUGGACGCCAGUCUGCAUGGAGCCGGCCUUGAAAUACCACCCUUUAAUGUUUGAUGUUCUAACGUUGACCCGUGAUCCGGGUUGCGGACAGUGUCUGGUGGGUAGUUUGACUGGGGCGGUCUCCUCCUAAAGAGUAACGGAGGAGCACGAAGGUUGGCUAAUCCUGGUCGGACAUCAGGAGGUUAGUGCAAUGGCAUAAGCCAGCUUGACUGCGAGCGUGACGGCGCGAGCAGGUGCGAAAGCAGGUCAUAGUGAUCCGGUGGUUCUGAAUGGAAGGGCCAUCGCUCAACGGAUAAAAGGUACUCCGGGGAUAACAGGCUGAUACCGCCCAAGAGUUCAUAUCGACGGCGGUGUUUGGCACCUCGAUGUCGGCUCAUCACAUCCUGGGGCUGAAGUAGGUCCCAAGGGUAUGGCUGUUCGCCAUUUAAAGUGGUACGCGAGCUGGGUUUAGAACGUCGUGAGACAGUUCGGUCCCUA
rnacentral:rRNA from 1 species